rnacentral:misc_RNA from 1 species
GUAUUUUAGUUUAAAGUCCGCAAGCAGACCAUUGACAUUCUGAGAUUGUUUCGUAUAGUUUGUAAUAUACAUAGAACUCGAACUAUCGGACAGAGAGCCUAGGGCAAACAUCCAACUGACGCUGCAGAUGCAGGCCAAAAAAUCGUUCGAGAACUACAAGAGGUGCACAGGUGAAUGAAUAAAAGUGAGAGGCGUGCACAUGUCCCGGAGGACCAGCAGCAACCUCAAAGCUUUCAAUAAUGAUCCUUCCGCAGGUUCACCUACGGAAA